rnacentral:rRNA from 1 species
UACAGAGGUCUCAAGCGUUGUUCGGAAUUACUGGGCGUAAAGGGUGCGCAGGCGGCAAUGCAAGUCAAUCGUGAAAUUUAUAAGCUCAACUUGUAAGUGCGUUUGAUACUGCAUUGCUGGAGACUUGGGGGGGGGUUUGGAAUUUUCGGUGUAGCAGUGAAAUGCGUAGAUAUCGAAAGGAACGCCAACGGCGAAAGCAAAACCCUAAACAACGUCUGACGCUCAUGCACGAAGGCUGGGGAAGCAAACGGG